GUCAAGUCAUCAUGCCCCUUAUGUCCAGGGCUGCAAACAUGCUACAAUGGCUGGUACAGAGGGCUGCGAAACCGCGAGGUCGAGCGAAUCCCACAAAGCCAGUCUCAGUUCGGAUCGAAGUCUGCAACUCGACUCCGUGAAGCUGGAGUUGCUAGUAAUCCCGGAUCAGCUACGCCGGGGUGAAUACGUUCCCGGGCCUU
rnacentral:rRNA from 1 species